GAUUUCUGGUUUGGCGCGCCUGGCCCGCCACGGUCACGUGUGUGAGUGCUGGGUCGCGCCUGCCAUCUUUCUGGUCAACUAUUCUUCCUUAACGGGUUGGAUAGGUAGCCAGAUCUUUUACUUUGAAAAAAUUAGAGUGUUUAAAGCAGGCGUUUGCUAUGAAUACAUUAGCAUGGAAUAAUAACUUAGGACUUCGGUUCUAUUUUGUUGGUUUCUAGGACUGAAGUAAUGAUUGAUAGGGAUAGUUGGGGGUGCUAGUAUUCAGCGGCCAGAGGUGAAAUUCUCGGAUUCGCUGAAGACUAACUUAUGCGAAAGCAUU
rnacentral:rRNA from 2 species